rnacentral:rRNA from 1 species
CGUCAUGAAAGAAGUUUAAAAAAAGGUACGGCGUAAAGCUGUCGCUAAAGGAUGGACCUGCGAUGCAUUAGCUAGUUGGUAAGGUAACGGCGUUACCAAGGCGAUGAUGCAUAGCCGAGUUGAGAGACUGAUCGGCCACAUUGGGACUGAGACACGGCCCAAACUCCUACGGGAGGCAGCAGUAGGGAAUCUUCCACAAUGGACGCAAGUCUGAUGGAGCAACGCCGCGUGAGUGAAGAAGGUUUUCGGAUCGUAAAGCUCUGUUGUUGGUGAAGAAGGAUAGAGGUAGGUAACUGGCCUUUAUUUGUACGGUAAUCAACCAGAAAGUCACGGCUAACUACGUGCCAGCAGCCGCGGUAAAU